rnacentral:hammerhead_ribozyme from 1 species
AUCCAGCUGACGAGUCCCAAAUAGGACGAAACAAGCGUCCUGAU